rnacentral:rRNA from 1 species
UUCGGACUUAGCGGCGGACGGGUGAGUAACGCGUGGGAACAUACCCUUUGGUACGGAACAACAGUUAGAAAUGACUGCUAAUACCGUAUACGCCCUUUUGGGGAAAGAUUCAUCGCUGAUAGAUGGGCCCGCGUUAGAUUAGCUAGAUGGUGAGGUAAUGGCUCACCAUGGCGACGAUCUAUAGCUGGUUUGAGAGGAUGACCAGCCACACUGGGACUGAGACACGGCCCAGACUCC